AGAACGAACGCUGGCGGCAUGCCUAACACAUGCAAGUCGAACGAGACCUUCGGGUCUAGUGGCGCACGGGUGCGUAACGCGUGGGAAUCUGCCCUUGGGUUCGGAAUAACAGCGAGAAAUUGCUGCUAAUACCGGAUGAUGACGUAAGUCCAAAGAUUUAUCGCCCAAGGAUGAGCCCGCGUAGGAUUAGCUUGUUGGUGGGGUAAUGGCCUACCAAGGCGACGACGGGUAGCCGACCUGAGAGGGUGACCGGCCACACUGGGACUGAGACACGGCCCAGACUCCUACGGGAGCAGCAGUGGGAAUAUUGCACAAUGGG
rnacentral:rRNA from 1 species